GAGUUUGAUCAUGGCUCAGAUUGAACGCUGGCGGCAGGCCUGACACAUGCAAGUCGAGCGGUAGCACAGAGAGCUUGCUCUCGGGUGACGAGCGGCGGACGGGUGAGUAAUGUCUGGGAAACUGCCUGAUGGAGGGGGAUAACUACUGGAAACGGUAGCUAAUACCGCAUAAUGUCGCAAGACCAAAGUGGGGGACCUUCGGGCCUCAUGCCAUCAGAUGUGCCCAGAUGGGAUUAGCUAGUAGGUGGGGUAACGGCUCACCUAGGCGACGAUCCCUAGCUGGUCUGAGAGGAUGACCAGCCACACUGGAACUGAGACACGGUCCAGACUCCUACGGGAGGCAGCAGUGGGGAAUAUUGCACAAUGGGCGCAAGCCUGAUGCAGCCAUGCCGCGUGUGUGAAGAAGGCCUUCGGGUUGUAAAGCACUUUCAGCGGGGAGGAAGGCGAUAAGKUUAAUAACCUUGUCGAUUGACGUUACCCGCAGAAGAAGCACCGGCUAACUCCGUGCCAGCAGCCGCGGUAAUACGGAGGGUGCAAGCGUUAAUCGGAAUUACUGGGCGUAAAGCGCACGCAGGCGGUCUGUCAAGUCGGAUGUGAAAUCCCCGGGCUCAACCUGGGAACUGCAUUCGAAACUGGCAGGCUAGAGUCUUGUAGAGGGGGGUAGAAUUCCAGGUGUAGCGGUGAAAUGCGUAGAGAUCUGGAGGAAUACCGGUGGCGAAGGCGGCCCCCUGGACAAAGACUGACGCUCAGGUGCGAAAGCGUGGGGAGCAAACAGGAUUAGAUACCCUGGUAGUCCACGCCGUAAACGAUGUCGAUUUGGAGGUUGUGCCCUUGAGGCGUGGCUUCCGGAGCUAACGCGUUAAAUCGACCGCCUGGGGAGUACGGCCGCAAGGUUAAAACUCAAAUGAAUUGACGGGGGCCCGCACAAGCGGUGGAGCAUGUGGUUUAAUUCGAUGCAACGCGAAGAACCUUACCUGGUCUUGACAUCCACAGAACUUAGCAGAGAUGCUUUGGUGCCUUCGGGAACUGUGAGACAGGUGCUGCAUGGCUGUCGUCAGCUCGUGUUGUGAAAUGUUGGGUUAAGUCCCGCAACGAGCGCAACCCUUAUCCUUUGUUGCCAGCGGUUAGGCCGGGAACUCAAAGGAGACUGCCAGUGAUAAACUGGAGGAAGGUGGGGAUGACGUCAAGUCAUCAUGGCCCUUACGACCAGGGCUACACACGUGCUACAAUGGCAUAUACAAAGAGAAGCGACCUCGCGAGAGCAAGCGGACCUCAUAAAGUAUGUCGUAGUCCGGAUUGGAGUCUGCAACUCGACUCCAUGAAGUCGGAAUCGCUAGUAAUCGUAGAUCAGAAUGCUACGGUGAAUACGUUCCCGGGCCUUGUACACACCGCCCGUCACACCAUGGGAGUGGGUUGCAAAAGAAGUAGGUAGCUUAACCUUCGGGAGGGCGCUUACCACUUUGUGAUUCAUGACUGGGGUGAAGUCGUAACAAGGUAACCGUA
rnacentral:rRNA from 1 species